rnacentral:tRNA from 2 species
GGUAGCUCAGCGGUAGAGCAACUGACUGUUAAUCAGUAGGUCGGCGGUUCGAAUCCGUCC